rnacentral:rRNA from 1 species
GACGUAGGGCGCGAGCGUUGUCCGGAUUUAUUGGGCGUAAAGAGCUCGUAGGCGGCUUGUCGCGUCGAAUGUGAAAUCUCAGGGCUCAACUCUGACAUUGCAUUCGAUACGGGCAGGCUAGAGUUCGGUAGGGGAGACUGGAAUUCCUGGUGUAGCGGUGAAAUGCGCAGAUAUCAGGAGGAACACCGGUGGCGAAGGCGGGUCUCUGGGCCGUAACUGACGCUGAGGAGCGAAAGCUGGGGAGCGAACAGGAUUAGAACCGUACCGUCGAGAUCCA